rnacentral:rRNA from 1 species
CCGGGUAACGGGGAACUCACGGGUUCGACUUCCGGACGACGGGAAGCCUGAGCACAACGGCUACACAUCCACGGAAGGCAGCAGGCGCGCAACAUUACCCAAUCCCGACACGGGGAGGUAGUGACAAUAAAUAACAAUAUAGGGCCCUUUUGGGUCUUAUAAUUGGAAUGAGUACAAUUUAAAUCCGUUCACGAGGAACAAUUGGAGGGCAAGUCUGGUGCCAGCAGCCGCGGGUCAAUUUACCAGACUCCAAAUAAGCGUUAUCUUACAAGUUUGUUGCCA